rnacentral:rRNA from 1 species
GUAUCAGGGUUUAUUUAAUAAUAUCUUAGUAUUAAGAAUUCCCGAAUUUGGGAGAGCUAAUUGUAUAUUUAUUUUAAUGUGGAAAAAUUAUUUAUAAUUUACAGUUUGGAAUUAUAUGUUAGUCAUUCUUUAAUAUAUCUGGUUUUCUAAGAAAUAAAUUUAAUUUAUUUAAUCAGAUGGAUAGUUUUAUUGUAAAAUAAAUUUUUGAUUAUUAAAAUUUUAAGGGGAUAAGCUUUUAGAAUUAUAAUUUAUAAUUACUUUUUUAUUUGGGUUAAAUAGGAUUAGAAGUUUCCAUUUUUAGUAGAGUUUAAUAACCAGUUUCAUUAAAUAAUUAGAUUUAAUAAGUAUUUAAAUUUUUUAUUAGGAUAAUUUAUUUAAUUAAUUUUUAAAUAUAAUAAUGAUAGAAUUAGUAAAUUUUUAUGUAUAUAAUUUUCUAUAGAUAAUGUUUUUGAUAAGGAAUUCGGCAAAAAAAUUUUCCGCCUGUUUAAUAAAAACAUGUCUUUUUGUUUAAUAUUUAAAGUCUAGCCUGCCCAAUGAUUUUUGAAUGGCCGCGGUAUUUUGACCGUGCAAAGGUAGCAUAAUCAUUAGUUUUUUAAUUGAAAGCUGGAAUGAACGGUUUGACGAGAAAAUUACUGUCUCUUUAAAAUUGAUUGAAUUUUAUUUUUUAGUUAAAAAGCUAAAAUUUUUAUAAGGGACGAGAAGACCCUAUAGAAUUUUAUAAUUAUAAAUUUGGUAGUGUUUUGGAUAUUAAUUUAUUAUAAGAUUUAUAGUUUUUUUGUUGGGGCGAUAGGAAAAUUUGAUAAACUUUUUAUUAUUAGGAACAUUAAUUUAUGUGUAUGUGAUCCAUUUUUAUGAUUAUAAGAGAAAAUUACCUUAGGGAUAACAGCGUUAUUAAUUUGGAGAGUUCAUAUCGAUAAAUUAGAUUGCGACCUCGAUGUUGGAUUAAAAUUAUCUUUAGGUGGAGAUACUUAAAAGUUAAGUCUGUUCGACUUUUUAAAAUUUUACAUGAUCUG